UUUCCAAAUGGUUGUUGCGCUGGGCUGGGAUUGGCGCCGUUGGAUUUUUUGGGCUUUUGCAUGUACGGUGGAUAUAGGCUAUAUAGUUUUCGCAUCCUAUCAGCACUUGGUCGCCCAGUGCUGCUUCUUGUUGUCGGCCUCGUCUCUGCUCUGUACUGGUUGGCAUGAGAGCUCACUCAUCCUAACCAUGCCAUGCCAUGCCAGUUGGUGCUUGGAGGUUGCAUAUAUUCAAGAAGUUGGGAAGGCCAGGUUUUUGGAUACUCUUAGAGGCAGAGGUUUGGACUGGAAUCAAAGAGACGGCUUGGUUUUGAAUUUCUUUCACCUUUGGUGUCAGUCUGUUUUAUUGAAUUGGAAUUCGAUAUAGUGAUACAAACCUGGGGGACAAUUCUGAUUGGUCAAUAUUUUGUGACUUCUUUUUUACUUUUCCUUGGAUUAGCCAACUUACCAUGAAAAAAACGGGGUAAAGUAACUUUUUGUUGAUUGUUUUCAAAAUGUAAGUUUUCUUCUUCUGCAUGUAAAAGAAGUUUACCAAACUGGCCUGCCCGGACCCCAAACAAUUCGUUGAUGAAGCCCUUGGGGAGUAGGGAAGCUGAGGCACAAGAGGCUUGCCAAUUUGAUUAGAUAUUGCUGCGACGGCAACAAGAGGCUGCUGGUGGCCGAGUACAUACCCAAGGAUACCCUUGCUAAAUAUCUCUUCCACUGAAGCAGGUGAAGGUUUGAAAGGGCCCAGGAAAGUUUUAUGAAGAUAAGGAUGUAGUUUCUGGGGUUAGUUACAGUUUCUGUGAGAAUCAAGAUGAUAAGGAAUCUGGAAAUGUGGGAGACACUACUGAUAUAGUGGAAAGAACUGAAAAUGGAACCAAAUAUGAGAGCAAAGAAGGAGAUAUAGAAUUUCAGCAGAGAUAAAUAUCAUCUGCUUCUGGUGAAAAAGAAUGUAGUGUCUCAGUCAAGGAAAGUAAUAGAUCAGAGAAUAAAAGAGAUCGAAGAUGUAAAAUAAAAACAUCCUGUUCAGAAGUGAAUUCAAAUAUCCGGAGAGUGACAGACAAGAUAAAUCAGAUGAAAGAUUAGAUGAUUAGAGCUAAAGCAUACAUGACUUUUGCACCACCUAACUCACAGUUGGUGAAGGAGUUGAAACUUCGAACUAAAGAGGUGGACAUGUGGUCGGUGGAACUCACAAGGAUUCUGAUUUAUCUUGGAGUGCUUUGCAGAAAAUGAGAACAUGGAGGCCUCACUAUCCAAAGCAGCCGUGCUUUCCCAGACUGCUCUGCUAUGGCCACAAAACUACGUUCUAUGACCACAGUGCUGAAGAGCAAGUUGCGUUGCAGAAGAAGCAAGUCACAUUUCUUUAUCACCUUGCUGGAAGUACUAACCCAAAGGUCUUCAUUGUCUUUCUUUGCAGCUGACUGCAGAGUACUUUGCUCUCGAGUCCAAGGAAAGGCAAUUUCCUAACCGACACAAGUUGCAUGAUACACAGCUCUAUCAUUGUGCUGUCUUCUCCGACAAUGUUCUGGCAUGUGAAGUGGUUGUGAACUCCACUCUUUUCACUGCCAUGGAACCAGAGAAAAUUGUUUUCCAUGUGGUGACUGAUUCACCCAAUUUUCCAGCAUUUUCCAUCCUCCUGGAAAAAGCCACUAUCCAAGUUUAGAGCAUAGAGAGUUUUGUGACAAGCGUAGAGAGCUAAAGCAGGAACUUCCAUAAUCCAUACUAACCUGUUAUCCAAGUUAAGCAUGAUUGAUAUUUUACAUUUAACUUGUGACAAAAUAGUUUACCAAAUUAUUACACUAUUGAUUUUGGACUUCCAACUACGGCUAAGAAAUCUGUCGUGCUCAAUGUGAUGAUAGUUAUGAGCGAACUGAUAGGAAAGAACAAAAUUUUGAGUUUGUGAACACCUUGGAGAUUAGAGCUUUGUUGAUUUUAUUUUCAU